rfam:Nocardiopsis sp. JB363 genome assembly, contig: Scaffold43
GGUCACGAGUACCAGCGUCAAGCCCCGGCUCGCUGGUCGGCAACCCUCCUUCCGCGGUGGGGUGCCCCGGGUGAGGACCAGGUCCCGACACGACCGUGUCGGACAAGCGCGGACC